GAUCAUUAACGCGCUAGUGCCGGAGGCCGGCCCCCCAGGAUAUGGGCCAWAACGUCCGUCAGGGGUGAGCAGAUGUGCGCCGGCCGUACCGCCCCAUUYUUGUMUACACUUACUCGGUUGCCUCGGCGGGCCGCGCUCUCCCAGGAGAGCCGUUCGGCGAGCCUCUCUUUAUAGCGGCUCAACGCUGGACCGCGCCCGCCGGAGGACAGACGCMAAAAAAUAAUUCUUUCAGAAGAGCUGUCAGUCUGAGCGUUAGCAAUGCAAAAAUCAGUUAAAACUUUCAACAACGGAUCUCUUGGUUYCGGCAUCGAUGAAGUAACGCAGCGAAAUGCGAUAAGUAAUGUGAAUUGCAGAAUUCCGUGAAUCAUCGAAUCUUUGAACGCACAUUGCGCCCCCUGGCAUUCCGGGGGGCAUGCCUGUUCGAGCGUCAUUUCAGCCCCUCAAGCCCGGCUUGUGUGAUGGACGACCGUCCGGCGCCCCCGUCUCUGGGGGKGYGGGACGCGCCCGAANAGCAGUGGCCAGGCCGCGAUUCCNGCUGUCUAGGCGAAUGGGCAACAAACCAGCGCCUCCAGGACCAUGCCUGCCCUGGCACUCAAGAAUCNGUUCUUAUACUUAUCAGGUUGACCUCGGAUCAGG
rnacentral:misc_RNA from 1 species